rnacentral:rRNA from 1 species
AAAACGACUCUCGGCAACGGAUAUCUCGGCUCUCGCAUCGAUGAAGAGCGCAGCGAAAUGCGAUACUUGGUGUGAAUUGCAGGAUCCCGUGAACCAUCGAGUUUUUGAACGCAAGUUGCGCCCRAAGCCAUUCGGCCGAGGGCACGUCUGCCUGGGUGUCACUC